UUCCUUUUUUCUUUCCUUUCUGUGAAUCUUGUUGUGUCAAAGACUUAAAGGUUUGAUCAUGCUUAAGUAUUAAAGGAUCCCCACAGAGAAUCAGGGUUGGUCUAUGGCUAUUUGGUUAUAUGUUUGCUUGAAAUAUCUUUGAACCCUGCUUAGAGGUUCUGAAUGCCUCAAGGAGAGAAUCAACAUUGUGUUCUAGCCAAUAGAUGUGAUCAUGCCAUACCUAAGAUCAAGUUGCUAAUCUAACCUGUAUUUUUAAAUCAUGAGAUUCCUACAUGAGUUCUAUUAGAAUAAAACUGGUUCAAGAUUCAAAAAGUGGAAAUUUACCUACUAUCCACUUCUUGAGUCAUUUGUGUUUGGGUCUGAAUUUUAAUACUUUGUCCAUAUAUUUAGUUAUCACUAUUUAAUUGACUGUCUCACAUACACUUUCUAUGACUUGGUCAAAUGAAGUUUGUAGUAUGGCAUGACUUGCUAAAUGUCCAGAUUAACUUGAGAUGGUUCUGCAAAGUUGAAAUGACAUAAGGAACUUGCUAAUGACAAUUGGACCUAUACUAUGACUCUGUAUGAACUUUGUUAGGUCUUGAUGGUGAGAAAUGGCUCUAGUUCUAGCCUAAAUGAUUUUUUCUGACCAGGUGCACAUGUACUUGAACUUAUUAAAACAUUUCGCUAUGAAAAGUUUUUGGUGGCAAUGUUCCUUAUGAUUAGAAAGGAUUGAGGGUAAGCUAAAAAUCACAUGGCUUAGAAGAGCUUUUUUUAAAAAGGUGCCUUGAGAAGGGAUUAAGGGAGAACCAAGCACUAUUUGGUUCACAACAUUUUUCCUCCACAUAAAAGGCACUAUGGCACUUUUAUAAGCCCAUGGUGGUGCAUGCUAACUGUACAAAUCUCUUAGAAUCAUAUGAACUCUGCUGCCAUAACCUAGAAAACUUAGUUAGAAUCAGACAUACACUGAUGAAUAGCUUCGUGAAACCUAGUAAUGAACCUAGGUGCAUAUGUACAUGACUGAACUAGACACAAAAGGAAGAACUUAAAGGAAAACAUGAACCUGAAUAGGUAGGGCGUUGAGACUGAAUCAUUAAAGACUAUUAAGAUCAUGUAGAUCCUUCUUUUUUCAAAAACUCCACCAAAGAGACAUAGAUGAUUUUCUGCAUUCUUUCUAUACCAUGUAUACCCUGCAUACUUCUCCACCUGAUGUUUUCAUCUUGUUAGACCUGACUGGGGUUUGAAGAUCCACCUCUGUGCUAUGUUUAUAUGUGUAGACCUGACUGAAACUAGUUCUUUUUUCUCUGUAUUGUACCUGUCUGCUCAACCUGUAUUUGUCCUUUUGCAAAUAUGACAUGGGAUAUACUUUCUCUUUACUUGGGCCUGCUUUGGUCUCCUUUAUAUGUGCAGUGUAUAUCUAUGACAGAACUCCAUAUUAGAAUCUGUCCAUGUUUGUAUAUCUUCAUGAUUGAAAUUGCCAAGCUCAUUUGCAAACACUACUCCUAGAAUCUGUCCAUGUUUGUAUAUCUUCAUGACUGAAAUUGUCAAGCUCAUUUGCAAAGAUUACUUCUAGUUUGUAAUAAUUAGUCUAAUGAAUAUAUUCCUGGCCCUUUGUUGCAACUGAGUGGUAGUAAUGGUACACAGUAUGGUAUUGUCCUUUGUUUUGGGAGUUGUUUUUGCCUAUUCCUCUAUAUCUCUGUUUUGAAAGGCCAAGCUACUCAAUGAUAUUUGGUCUUAAGUGCAUCCUUGUGUUUGAUUGCGAUAAUGUUGAGGAUUAUUUGGGGUUGGUCUAACCUUCCCCUAGUACCAGCCAUGUCUGGGGUUCGUUGAAACCCCUUGAAUCUUAUGUGACACUGGGAAUAAGGUUGGUGACAACCACCCUAAUCUCAUUCCCAAAUACUCAGCCCACACAUCACAAAAAAUGCACUAUGGAAGAAAUAUCAUGUUAGGAUAGUUUGGCCAUUUUUAUUAUUACCAUACGUCUAUACCUUCUAUAUAUUAUAUGAAAUUUUAUAGGAUCUAGUCUAACCGAAUU